rnacentral:lncRNA from 1 species
UUCAGCAGUUCACAUCUUUUCCUGCUUCUACAUUUUGAAGCUCUCUUUUCUUCUUUUCUUUAUUUUGGAUUGAGACUAAUUCUUUCUUCCAUAUCGAAUCGUGGGCCUCGAGGUCAAACAUGCUCAAGCACCUUGAACCAUUUUCCCUUGAAACUUGAACUGUCUUCCGUCGAAACUGCUUUCCCUUGAAACUUGAGUUGUCUUUCCGUCGACACUGCUUUCCCUUGAAACUUGAGUUGUCUUCCCUUGUUCUCCAGGUGAAAUCCAUUGUUGUCGUUUUGAAUUGUAAACUGAGAUGUUUUCCCUUCUUCAAAUUGUUGAACUUGAAUGUAUUCUUCCGUUAUCCAGGCGGGCUUCUGACUUCACAAAAAUAGACGAAACAAAUAAAACUUUCUACCCUAGUUUGGAAAACUGGGGCUUGUUACUGGAUACUAAUACGAAUUUGAAAACUAAAACUUGAAUUGUAAUACCUCUAUUGUUCAGGCGGGCUCCUGACUUCAAAACUUGAAUGUAUUCCUCUGUUCUCCAGGCGGGCUCCUGAUUUCACAAAAAUAGACAAAACAAAUAAGACUUUCUGCCCCAGUUUGGAAAACUGGGUGCUAGUUACCACAUACUAACAAGGACUAAAACUUGAAUUGUGAUAAGACUGAAAUGCAACUUUAAAGACUGAAAUGUACCUUAAAUUUUGAAAUUUAUCUUAGGUGAAAAAUUUAUCAAAAUAAGAUUUUUAUCUUAGGAGAAAGAUUCAACAGACUAAGACUUUUCUAACUUUGAUCUUAGGUGAAAAAUUCAUCAAACUAAAAUUUUCAUCUUAGGAGAAAGUUUUAACAGACUAAGAUCUUUCUAACUUUGAUCUUAGGUGAAAAAUUCAUCAGACUAAGAUUUUCAUCUUAGGAGAAAGCUUCAACAGACUAAGAUCUUUAUCUUUAUCUUAGGUGAAAAAUUCAUCAGACUAAGGUUUUCAUCUUAGGAGAAAGAUUCAACAAACUAAGAUUUUUAUCUUUAAUCUUAGGUGAAAAAAUCAUCAGACAAGGAUUUUACAUUGGGUGAAAGACUCAACGGACUAAGAUUUUGACUCUAUGAGAUAAUUCAUCAGACUAGUCCAUUUUUGUGUGAUAUCAGGAGGAAGAUUCAUCGGACUGAGAUUUUCACUCUAGGAGAUAAUUCAUCAGACUAGGCCCGAAUUUCGAAUCCAGACUUUCUUAAUCUUUCAAAUUCAAACAUUCCUUUACUUCUUUUCAAAUUGUGCCUUCCUUUCUUCUUCCCAAACUAUGUGUUCCUUUCUUAUCCCAAAUUAUGCCUUCCUUUCUUUUUCCCCGAAUUCUGCCUUCCCCUCUUUUUCCAAAUUAUGCCUUCUUUUAUUUUUUUUCCAACUUUUGUCUUCCAAUGUUUUGCAAAUUAUGCUUUCCUUUCCUUUUUCCAACUUCUGCCUUUAUCUUAGGUGAAAGAUUCAUCAGACUAAGAUUUUUAUCUUAGGUGAAAAAUUUAACAGAUUAAGAUUCCUAUCUUAGAUGAAAGAUUCAACAGACUAAGAUUUUUAUCUUAGGUAAAAAAUUCAUCAGACUAAGAUUUCUAUCAAUUAACCAUUACCUCUGAACUUGUUUUAACUACGCUCUAACUUGAAUUAUCUUCCUGCAGAACUGCUUCCUUAAAUACAUGGUGUUGUCCUCCUCCUAAAAAAAACCACUUCGCUAAAACUAGUGUUUCAUUCCUCCAAAAAUUACUUUUAUUGAAACUGGUGUUUCUUUACUGAAAGCUACUUCCCUCUUCUUCUUUGUAAAAGAAAACUUGUAUUGACCUUCAUGUUCUUCAUAUGGGUACCCGACUUCAAGAAAAUUUUCAACACGACGGAAUUUUUUUUGCCUCGGUUUGAUAAUCUUCCUGUAGCAUAUCUUUUGCCAUCAAUAACAUUUCCAUGCUCAUGUUUUAAAUCAAAGAAAAUUCUGUCAGUUUAACAUACGGUGGUUGGUUGUGGUACUCCUGCUGGGAUAACUUUCCUUUUCUCCUUUCCAUGCUCCGCGUUGUUCGACCAUCUUUGAAACUUGGCUAAUAAUUUCCGCCCUUCUGGACGACUACCUCUCAAUUAUUACUUCCAAUCUUCUUAUCUGACCCCAUAUGUUUUCUAUGACACCUGAUUAGUCUUGAAGAUCUUGCAUGUUUACUAAUUAAUCACUUUCCUCGUCAUUUGUGUCAUCAAACAUACCUUUUCUGCAUUCAAACCCUAUAUCAUCGGUUUGUUACACCGCUCAUGAACUGGCAUUUUCCUGACCUUUGAGUCUUACAUGAAUUCCCAAAUUGCGUUUAUUUCCCCCACAGUAUGUUGUUGCUUCUUGAAUCACAACCCUAGCCCCUUGAACCUGAAGUCUAUUGCUCCCCCAAAGCAUGUUGAGUAUUACCAGCUUAGUGCUCUUGUUGUUUUUCUUAACUUGUGACACUUUGAUAUGCUAGCCAGACCCCCUUUGUGCAAUUGGGAAAGCUGGUGGUAAAUUUUGAAGCCAUUUCUCACUUGUUAUAACCGAUAGACUCAGAAAGAGAAGUAAGCAAACAGAGGAACGAAGAGAAGGACAAAGUAAAGAGAUGAUUCCUAAAGAAGACACUAUGAAGUAAAAACCUAUCAAAUGUGGAUACCAACUCUAAUGACCAUGACAUGCACCUGUAGAUAUUCUGCCAAUCAAACCUGAUGUUCAGCUCUUGUUGUAUCUUUUCGUCGUGAAACUAGGUUUUUGUGCUCCGCUUAUCCAAUCUGAUUACAUUCCUUAUUCGACUUUAACUCUUGUUGUAUCUUUUUGCCGUGAAACUGGGCUUUAAUGCUCCACUUAUUUGAUUCGCUUUCCCUAUUCGACUUGUGGCGCCCAAAGGGUUUUCACCAUCAUGCCUCUCUCAUUUUUCCUUUCUCUCAACUUACUGUCGCCUUAAGGUGCUCGUGAAGGUUUUCACCAAUAUGACUCUCUUAUUUUUUUAUUUCUCUCAGCUUCCAUCACCUUGUUUUAACAUGAGUGUUGCCCCUGACAUGAAUUACCUUACCUGCUUGACUUGGCAUUUCUCAAAGAUUGAUCAUAAGGUCUUUCUUUGGAACGUAAUAUAGGCUUUUGGAUGGGUUACAAAGAAAGGGUAUAAAAGGCUCAAAUCAAUUCAAAAUGGGAUUAAAACUACAACUUUCGAAAUCAGAUCUUUCACAACAACCACAACUUCUACCCUAGUUUCUUGCUUGGGGAUUUUUGGAUUUUUAUUUUGGUAUGACUGAACCUCAGAGAGGCUGCCUACGUACCCUUUCGGGAUUUUUGGAAUUUUAUUUUGGUAUGACUGAACCUCGGAAUAAGGCUGCCUACGUAUCCUUUCGGGAUCAAGUAAAACGUAGUUCACAUUAUCGUAAUUACCUUUGUUGUGAUUCUUUUCUUCUUUUCUUUAGUUUUUCUUUCUUUUGUUGCACCUUUUCAUUUUUCUUCUUUUCUCAUAUUUUCCUUCUCUUUUCUUUCUUUCUGUUUCUUCUUCUUUUUCCUUUCUUUCUUUUUUUUCUUCUUUUCCUUUCCAUUUGCUUAUUGGCGGCACUUGUGUUUCUUACUCGGGCCAUUGAUUCCGAAAGGGGGUAUGAAAGAAAAUAAACACGGUUCAAAAGGGGUGACAAUGAAAAAAGGUAUUUGGAUAGCAGAACAAAUGCCUUCAUCAUUUCAAUCCUCAAGAUAUGCCAAAUGCAAACAAAAUACGAUUAAUGCACAGAAAUUACACAUAGUAUCUCUUGACCGCAUCGAAAUUGAUUGGCCAUUUUCACCUAUUUUCCUGCUACAUCUGUCAAAUAUAAUGUACCAUUGGGCAACACUCUUACUCUUAUUACCACGACCGGCCUUCUGUCAAUUUGGCCAACUGUCUUCAGGGUUGUUCUAUCUGCCCCAGUUUCACAUGAUUCGGGCGUCAAACAACCUCAAAGCGUCCAACUAUUAUUUCCUCAAGUGACCCUAUCAUUUUCAAAAUCGUCUCAUCGUUUCCUGGCUAACGUAGCCCUUAAAUAUCAGACUAAGAACUAUGAGUGCAUGUCAUGUCACUAGAACUAGCAUGAAAAGAAUUGUAGAAAGAAAAAGAGAACUAAACAAAAAUGACUAGAAAUGGUACAAAACAGAGAAUUGUACUAAACAGACGGUGAAAGGGUUUAACAACAAAACAAGCAAUACAAACUGGGAUACAAUCCUAAAACAAACCCAGAUAACACUACAUAAGAUAUGACGACUAAAGGAACUAGGCAAAUAAAAGGAUAGAAUGGUUUGAUUCACAAGACAAUAUCCGGAUUACAAUCCUGAAAAUAACCCGGACAACAAAAAUGACAACAAAAUCAACCACCAAGACUUCUCUCCAGCUGGCCAAGAGAUGAAGCGUCUUUCCAAUUACCAAGCUCGGCAUCUUAGCCUCUAAGUUCUGCAUCAAUAUUGUCAAGAACAUUACCAACUUCGAUAUCAUCAACUUCAAUCAACAAGUUCCCAAGAGGAUUCGCAUGCUCCAUGUCACUGUCAUUAACCACAAUUACCCCUUCUUGAAUCAUUCUUUCUAUUUCCCUUUUCAAUCCUGACAACUUUUCAUAACCACAAUUACCCCUUCUUGAAUCAUUCUUUCUAUUUCCCUUUUCAAAUCUCGACAAUUUUCCACAUUGUGCCCCAGAGCAUUUGAGUGGUAUUCACACAUAUUAGAUGAUUCAAAGCUUCCCGCACGUCGGUCCACCUGAUUUGGAGGAAUGGGUGCAAUCAUGUCAUGUUGUUUUAACUUCUCNNNNNNNNNNNNNNNNNNNNNNNNNNNNNNNNNNNNNNNNNNNNNNNNNNNNNNNNNNNNNNNNNNNNNNNNNNNNNNNNNNNNNNNNNNNNNNNNNNNNNNNNNNNNNNNNNNNNNNNNNNNNNNNNNNNNNNNNNNNNNNNNNAUUCCCCUGGCUUGGAUGUGGGUUAUAAGGUACUUGAAAAUUUUUGCAGAGGCGGGUGGAGAUUUUGUGAUACUCCCGCUCGCUUUCUUGGGUGAUUUGAUGGUUGGGAAACAUACUGGGAUGGAUCAACAGGGUAUGGGUGGUUCGGAGGUGGAUAGUAAUGCUGAGGGAGGUCAUAGAAAACCUAAUGAGGCUGCACAUUUCUCCCAUUUUGAUUGCGAAGGAAUUACCCACUACGGACGCCAUGUAUUGAUAAUAAUCCGGCUCUUGAGCCUAUAGAAAGAUAGUGAUUAACUCGUGGUCAUCCAUGGGUGGCUUAGCUCUAGCUAUCUGCUCUCUCCAUUUGAUGGCAUAUUCCCUGAAACUUUCAGUUGGUUUCUCUUCCAGGUUAGAAAGGAAAAUGCGGUCUGGGGCGACGUCGAUGUUGUAUUGAAACUGUUUGACAAAGGCCCGUGCUAUGUCAUCCCAGACGUACCAGCAAAAUGUGUCUUGAUCCAAAAACCAUUCAGAUGCUACUCCCGUGAGGCUUUCCCCAAAAUAAGCUAUUAGCAAUUCUUCAUUUCUUCCCACAUCUCUCAGCUGAUUGCAAUACCUUUUCAGGUGGNNNNNNNNNNNNNNNNNNNNNNNNNNNNNNNNNNNNNNNNNNNNNNNNNNNNNNNNNNNNNNNNNNNNNNNNNNNNNNNNNNNNNNNNNNNNNNNNNNNNNNNNNNNNNNNNNNNNNNNNNNNNNNNNNNNNNNNNNNNNNNUACAUCGGGGAAUAUGCAUAGAUCUCUGAAGGCAACACUCUUUUGACCUGCCAUUGCUUGCGUGUUUUUCAGCCAUUGUUCCAAUCUUUUCACUCCUUGGGCUAUUUCUUCCUGUACUCUCAUUCGGGCAAGCUUCUCGAUGUUAGCAGGAAGAUCAAAUGAGUACGAGUGGUACUCAGGAGCGUGGCACUGUUCUUGCUGUGUAGAAAAUUGUGACUCAUGACGGGGCUCUGCUUGACCAUUGGCCCAUGCUUGAUGUAUUUCAGUCAUUUUUCUGUUUUGGUGUUAUAUUUACUUCAAACACCGUAGACUCUAGUUGAACCCUCUGACCCUGAGUCUCUUGAGCACUUGUAAAAACUACGAUGUCGGUUAUCAUUUUUACUCAGAUUUUUUGUUUCCAGCUUACCACAACCAACCACCUAAACUUUCUUCACAAUUCAAAACAAAACAUGUUAGAAUGGAUUGGGUCGGUCCUCAUUGUUCACAACAUCUUUUUCCAUUCUUUUAAUUUUUGUUUUUCAUUUUUUUCGUUGUGGUUGUGGUCGAAUCCUAUGUAGAUUGCCAAGGUAUCGUGACCCGUACAAAUCAGACUAGGCGUAGUUCGUGCCGAUAAAAGGUAAACGACAAUAAAAUAUUUAAGGAAUUUUCUAUUUUUUAUAAUAACCACAAAAUAUUUUUGGUAUUCACUAGACCACUGACUCUUUUCUUAUUUUUUUCAAAUGAAAAUAAACGACCCGGUAUUGCAAACACGGCCUUCUAACUCCAUGGGGCGAAGAUUUGAACAAAGGUGGCUAUCUAUGCAAGGUUAGCCUUCCGGCAUUCCGUUUGGGAACAUUUGGAUAUUUUUGACAAAAAAGGCAUCACCUGGUUUACUUAUGACAUAAAUUAAAAGUUUGACAUUUUUUGGGCUAUUUUUUGUAAUGGGAAGGUUGGACCCGAUGAGGGUUGCCUACGUAUCUCACGCCCUGUGAGAAUCAAACCAUGCGUAGUUCGGGCAAAUUACCGAACUAUUUUAAGACAAGAAUCUUUUUCAUUUUUAUUUUUGGCAUUUCAUAAGCAAAAAUAAAUUAAAAAACUACUUUUAAAAACAAGACUCUUUUUCUUUUCUUUUUCAACAACAAUAAAAUAGCCUAAAAAUAAAAGACUUUUUCUCCUUUUUUUUUCAUUUUCUAUGCCAGAACCAACUAUUUUUCUCUUUUUUUUUAUUUUCAAAACCAAGACUAAAAUAAAAGACUCUUUUUCCUUUCACAUUUUUCAUGGCAAAACAAAAUAUUAUACCUUUUCUAUUUUUGAAAACAAAACAAAAUAAAAUUUUUCUUUUCAUUUUCAACAAACAACCUAUUUUUUCCAAUUAAAAAUAAACUCUUUUUCAUUUUUAGUAACACAACCUAUUUUUUCGUACUAAAAAUAAGGACUCUUUUUUUUCUUUUUCAAUAAAACACCCUAUUUUUCCAUUGGCACAUAAACUAUGUUGAUGCAAGAAAAACAAAAUCAAGACUCUUUUUUUUCUUUCCAUUUUUCAUGGCAAAAUAAACUAUUUUUCAUUUUCCAUUUUUGCAAUCAAGACAAACUAAAAAAAAUGACGGACUCUUUUUGAAUAAAACAAUAUUUUUAUAUUUUCUCAAAACUUUGGCUGAGUUCCAACAGUACUUGAACAUCGGUUUAAAACAUUCAAUUAACUCUCCAACUGCUAUUUUUCUCUUUUUCUCCUUUUUUCUCUUUUUUUUUUAAUUUUCUAACAUUCCCGAGAUUUAAAAGCCAGUCAACAUGCAGGUUUGAAACAAAUAAAUGCACGGAACACAAGUAGGAUGCAUCAGGACGGUCUUUUCAUUUCAGGUUGCUAGCCCUAGAUGGACCCAACCCCUAUGUUGAGUCCCCUAAGUCAAAAUGCACAUGAUGCAAACAAGCGUUCCUACUAGGGAUCCGACAUGAGGCUUUGUUAUUCUAGGUUUAAAAACCUGGGUGUUUGUUCUAGACCUGGCUUACCCGAGAGGACAGCUCGAGCCGGGGUGGAGGUUGCAAUCUGGGAAUACAGAAACUUUUUCGACUUUGCUACUCAUCCAAACCUCGUUCUAAAUUGGGAACAGCUCGAGCCGAGGAGGAGGCAGUAAUCCGAGAAUACAGAAGUUUCGCCGGCUUUGCGACUUAUCCAAACCUUGUUCUAAAUUGGGAUUUGAGACUAGACAGAAAAGAAUUCGUACACCAUACACCCUUCUUCACAGUUCAGAAGACUCAGAGAGAAGAUGGGUUUCGGCACAGUUUAUAUAUAGUUUACGUAAUAUCAAAGCGGUAAAAGCAAUCAACUAGCACAUUAAGCAUAUAUCAUGUAACAAAAUCAAAUAAAGCCAAACACAAUAAUUAUUCUAAGCUUGAAUUCUCAACCCUGAACAAAAUAUUCUGGGUUCGGUCCCCAGCAGAGUCGCCAGAGCUGUCACACCUCCUUUUUCGUUGUACGCUCCCGCAAUGGGAGCAUAAAGGAGUUUUUCCAAAUAAAGGACAAUCGGAACAUGAUUUGUUGUUAUUUAUUCAGAGUCGCCACUUGGGAGAUUAAUAGUGUCCCAAGUCACCUAUUGAAUCCAGAACCGAGGAAAAAGAUAACUAUGUUCAAAGUCUGCGAAUCAGAAAUCCGAAUAAUGAAUUCUGUUAACCCGGGAGAAGGUGUUAGGCAUUCCCGGAGUCCGUGGUUCUAGCACGGUCGCUCAACUGUUGCAUUUAGCUUUUAUCUGUUUUAUUACAUGAAGAACCUAUGUAUCAAUUUUAUGCUUAACCGCUUUUAUUUAAUAUGAUAUUUCUUUAAGAAAGUGGACGUCAUUUAAAAUGUGUUUUCGAAUUACGCCACAUCAAAUGAACCCGCAAUCCUAGACACACUCUAUUCAACGUUUUAGGAUUUAGAUUUGGGUCGCAUAAAUGCCCACCCAUAUUUAGGAAUGUAAUUUAUUAAAGUCGCGCCUAAUAGAGUCUAACGCAUUAUUAUCUUUUGGGAGGGCCGUGAGAUUCGCUAAACGGCCCUCCUCGAUUUUUUAAAUAUCUUUUAAACCUUUAUUGAAGGCCCCGCAAUUUAUAUUUUUGUUGGGCGAGGCUCCUCUCAUUUUCAUUUUACAGGAUAAACUUAAAAGUGACUAUAUUUUCUAUUUUUUGGUUUUUGUCUCUAAAAGAAAAGAAAAAUUCCUAAUUAAUUAAUUAAAAUCCGGGCCUUAAGUUCAAGUCCGGAUCCAAACAAAAGGACGAACCUUUUAGUUUAAAACCCGCUACCUAACUCAAAACCCGAAUUCCUUUAAUUUAAUUACGUAGUUCAGUUAAAGAAUAGCAAUCCAAUUCUACACACUGAAUCUACAAAGCCAUCCAUAAGCAAAUAUAAAAACUCAGACUUCAUUUUAGACCAAGCUCAACUGAAAUUGAAAUACUGAACUAGCCCGGAAUUGAGAUCGAACAAAACGGACAUCAGCUGAAAAUCAAACCUCGAGCAACAACAGACUCGAGCUUCUCAAACGACUUCCAUUUUUACUCAACAAAAUUCAGAAUCAAAGUGAAGAGACUCCAGUAUUUUACUCUCCAAGUUUAUCAGAAUUACCCUCUUUCCUAUCAAUAUUCACACAACUAUUGUCUUGAGUGAGUUUAUUUUAAAACUUUAAAAGACAUGAUGUGCGCAAACUGUGUUUGAAGAGCUAGGAAGCACAAUCACAUGAUCAAACAACACUGAAUGAGAAGCAAACAUUACUAGGCAGACGAAGACACACAGUCACAUUGUUCCAAAGGAUUCUGAGAUAAGAGGACCAGAUGAACAUUCCUUAGCACACAUAUAGAAUCAUUGAAGGAAGCUAAAAACCCUCAGUUAUUAAUUCAAACUCAGCUCAUUUUAUAUCUUAUCCAGUGGUCGAUUUACAACGGGAACUAAAGAAAAAAGAGAAAUGAACCUGGAAUUAAGAGCAUCAACUAACACCACAUUGAACUGAUUAAAGAAAGCGAACAGCAGUAGAACACCAGCUUUCGAGCAACAGCAUCCUCAAAUCUAUCGAGUGACUUCCAUUUUUAACCCAAGGUCCAGAAUUAUUAUGAAAAAAGAUGAACUCUAAAGGCUUUGAGAAAAAAAACUUUAAACACUAGUUGACAUGAACUAAAUAUCAGCACCCUCAAUGAUUAUUGUGUUGUUCUCCAUCACGAAUCAAAGAAACAAUAAAACUGAAGAAAGAAGAGAAAACAUAUCUCAAAAUCCUUGCCAAAAAAAUCUCCAAAUUCUCACGUGUUUUUCAAAAUCUAAGCCAAAAAUCCGACUCAAGAGCAAGAAGGAUUUUUUUUAAUACCUUUUUUCCUCCCAAAAAAAUCCCCCCUGACGUGAAUCAGACUUGGAUAUAUAUAUCCCUCUCACGAAGCUUCUCUUCUCUUCUUUCAGAAAAAUACGAGAAUAUUCUCUCUAAAACGAAUUCGGACAGAUGGAGAGAGGGGAUCGAUUCAAAAUCAAUCCACGGUCCCUAUUUUCAGAAUUCAUUCUCGAGAAAAUAAAUGGGAGACGAAAAUCUGUCAGAGGCCGUUAGAAUCAUGCUGAGGUGGUGAGAUAAGGUGCGCGUGAGGUGAAAUCAAGCUCAAUCGCCCGAUUUUGGGCUGGAAUUUGGUUGUUUGGGGAGGAAGAACAGGGGUUGCGUUGAUGGGGUGUUAGAGAUUAGGGUUCUCUGUAUGAUUGCGCGUGUAUUUUGUUGGAGAGUAGGUCGGGUCGGGUCAAGGGAUGGGGCAGACGGGAUUAUGGGCUCAACUGGUCUUCCCACUUAAGAC